CAGUAGCCACGGUAACACGAACCGUGCGAACGUUAUUCGGAAUCAUUGGGCUUAAAGCGCGUGUAGGCGGAUGGGAACGUCGGUCGCUGAAAUACCCCCGGCUCAACCGGGGAACUGGCAUCGAAACGACCCGUCUCGAGGGGCAUAGGGGGAGCUGGAACUUCCGGUGGAGCGGUGAAAUGCGUUGAGAUCGGAAGGAACGCCCGUGGCGAAAGCGAGCUCCUGGAUGUCUUCUGACGCUGAGACGCGAGAGCUAGGGUAGCGAACGGGAUUAGAUACCCGCGUAGUCCCUGUCUCUUAU
rnacentral:rRNA from 1 species